AAGGUCUGCAAAAAUAUCAAGAAUGACAUUAACUUUUCCAAAAUAUAAUUCUUCAGUAAUACUACCCUUAUCCUUCAAAAAUAUGCAUAUUAUGCAAAGAAAUCAGCCUUCUGGAAAGAAAACCCUUUGUUUCAAAGUGUUGCUUCAGUGGUUAAAAAUCACAACCUAGCUGAUCAGGCGAGUUGCUGCUUCCCUGGGUAUUGAGCCUGCAACAGGAAGAGUUGUGCUACAAGAAUUGUGACCUCUGCAGUUUUAAAUCAGUCGGAUACAUGAACUUGUACUUUCUCACUUUACCUGAACAAAAUCAACAAAUCUGUGCACCACCCAUAACUCCCAAGAUGGCCUACGCCAGUAUUAAGACACAUGAAAUUACUGUCUCUGCAUUAUCGAUGUAAGCACCUGUCUUUGUUCAACAUUUAAGGAGGAAUGAGAACAUUUAUCAGCAGUUUGGAAAGCAGUUGUGGUUGGGAAUUUCUGUGCUUCUUUCAUACAAAGGUCACUGGCUCCAUCUAGUGACAGUGUUUUUCCCAUGUUCAGCCAGAAGAACCGUAUUUAGCACUUCAGUUUCUUUGGAAGGAUCUCCUUUUACAAAAGUUUGAGGACAAAAUACAAGCAUUCUAAAGUUAAAUCAAAAUUCAUUUCACUAUUACUCCACUGGAAGUAAAAAGUGACCAGUUAAUAGUGAUGGGCAAUAGCCAAACUCCUGUUCAAGAGGACUGAGUUUGAUGACAUUAAAAUGCUUCAGAAAACUUUUCUCCCUUUCUGACAGUUCAGUUUGCAUUUACUGAUCUGUUUUCCAGCAUGUCAUUUGGAAAUAAAUUGCACUGCUACUGACUAACUGCUCACAGCUUGAGACAGAGGCAGCUCUCACGCUCCACCUCCGGGGAUUUUUCCAACCAGUUCUCACAAAUUUCUAGAAUUUGCUGGGUUAUUUGGUCAGGCAGAGCGUGUUUUGCUUCAGCAAGCAGUGCUAAUGCUUGGCUGAUGCCAAAGAAAACCUCGGUGUAACAAUACAGAAAUAACUACUGAAGCAGCCAAGCUCCAGAACCUGGCAAUGAAAGGGCAGGGGUUUCUUUUUAGCAAAAAGAGUGAAAUGACAGUGAAAAUCCUGGAAAGUCAGGGCACUCUUUUAACACUCUCUUCAAGUAAAAUUUCAAAUUAGAUGGAAUUAAGGUUUUAUUCUGAUUACUUGCUUUGCUUCUAUUCUUAGGAGAGAAACUGGAAGGGCAAAGUCUGUAAUCACUGCUGCAAGAUAUGUGACAAUCCAGGAUGGCUCUUUCCCAGGUCACUGGUUGUCACAGAGGAGAGCCCUUUCUGGCUGUAGCCCCUCUUCUCCAUGAACUUGCUCCUGAGCAAGAUGAAUCUCGCACUCUAACAGCAUACAAGAGCUGUGAUGCACAAUCAAACAUCCCAAAUUCACAUCUGGUGAAUGUCAUCAGUUAUGGGAAGAUUGUGCUUGAAGCUGAGCAAGACUCACAGCUAAGACUCUCUACAGGAAAAGGAACAGCCAUUUUUCACCAAGUGCUCUGGGUGAAAAAGCACUGAAGAUGCAAAAGAAGGAAGAAAUAAUCAAAAUGCACAGCAUGGUUCCAAUUCUUAAAUUAAAACCAAGCUGGUAGGCUUAAAGUCACAAGCUAUAUUUGUUGCUUGAGUUCUUGGAUAUUGUAGUUCAACAGUUUCUCUUACUUGGCUUGACAACAGAGGAGCUUUGCAAAGACAUUAAAGCCUCAGUUCAACCACA